UACGUAGGUGGCAAGCGUUGUCCGGAUUUAUUGGGUUUAAAGGGUGUGUAGGCGGCUUUGUAAGUCAGUGGUGAAAUAUGGCAGCUCAACUGUCAGGGUGCCAUUGAUACUGCAGAGCUUGAGUACAGAUGAGGUAGGCGGAAUUGACGGUGUAGCGGUGAAAUGCUUAGAUAUCGUCAAGAACACCGAUAGCGAAGGCAGCUUACUGGGCUGUAACUGACGCUGAGGCACGAAAGUGUGGGGAUCAAACAGG
rnacentral:rRNA from 1 species